rnacentral:rRNA from 1 species
CACGUAGGCACCAAGCGUUGUCCGGAUUUAUUGGGCGUAAAGAGCUCGUAGGCGGUUCGGUAAGUCGGGUGUGAAAACUCUGGGCUCAACCCCAGAGCCGCCACCUGAUACUGCUGUGACUAGAGUGCGGUAGGGGAGCGGGGAAUUCCUGGUGUAGCGGUGAAAUGCGCAGAUAUCAGGAGGAACACCAAUUGCGAAGGCAGCUCGCUGGGACGUAACUGACGCUGAGGCGCGAAAGCUAGGGGAGCAAACGGG